UACGAAGGGUGCAAGCGUUACUCGGAAUUACUGGGCGUAAAGCGUGCGUAGGUGGUUUGUUAAGUCUGCUGUGAAAGCCCCGGGCUCAACCUGGGAAUGGCAGUGGAUACUGGCAAGCUAGAGUGCGGUAGAGGGUAGUGGAAUUCCCGGUGUAGCGGUGAAAUUCGUAGAUAUCGGGAGGAACACCAGUGGCGAAGGCGGCUCUCUGGGCAGAUACUGACGCUGAGACGCGAAAGCAUGGGGGAGCGAACAGG
rnacentral:rRNA from 1 species